CCUGGCGGCACUAGCGCGGUGGUCCCACCUGACCCCAUGCCGAACUCAGAAGUGAAACGCCGUAGCGUAGUGUGGGGUCUCCCCAUGUGAGAGUAGGGAACUGCCAGGC
rnacentral:rRNA from 1 species